UAAGGGGAGGAAGAAAAUAACAAGGAUUCCCCUAGUAACUGCGAGUGAAGCGGGAAAAGCUCAAAUUUGAAAUCUGGCAGUUUUUAACUGUCCGAGUUGUAAUCUAGAGAAGUGUUACCUGUGCUGGACCGUGUACAAGUCUUCUGGAAUGGAGCAUCAUAGAGGGUGAGAAUCCCGUCUUUGACACGGACUACCUGUACAUUAUGGUGUGCUCUCAAAGAGUCGAGUUGUUUGGGAAUGCAGCUCAAAAUGGGUGGUAAAUGCCAUCUAAAGCUAAAUAUUGGCGAGAGACCGAUAGCGAACAAGUACCGUGAGGGAAAGAUGAAAAGAACUUUGGAAAGAGAGUUAAACAGUACGUGAAAUUGCUGAAAGGGAAACGCUUGAAGUCAGUCGCGUCGGCUUGGAAUCAACCUGGCUUUUGCCUGGUGUACUUUCUUGUUGACGGGUCAGCAUCAAUUUUGACCGCUGGAUAAAGUCACUGGGAAUGUGGCAUCUUUGGAUGUGUUAUAGCCCUAUGUUGCAUACAGUGGUUGGGAUUGAGGAACUCAGCACGCCGCAAGGCCGGGUUUUUUUAAACCACCUUCCUGCUUAAGAAGGUGGCAUAAUGGCUUUAAUCCACCCGUCCUGGAACACCGAACAAGGAAUCCAACAUGGCUGCCAAUGGUUGGGUGGAAAAACCAUGCCCGUAAUGGAAGUGAAAGUUGAAAUUCCUUUCCAGGGAACAUUUACCCCCCGACCAAAACUUUUGGGAAAGAACCGCCGUAAAACAUGGAUGGUGGGAACCGAAAGAAGGUGAACUAAGCCUGAAUAAGGUGAAGCCAGAAGAAACUCCGGUGGAAGCUUCUAACGAUUCCGAAGUGCAAAUCCAUCGUCCAAUUUGGGUAUUAGGGCGAAAGAAUAAUCCAACCAUCUAGUAACUGGUUCCUGCCGAAGUUUCCCUCAGGAUAGCAGAAACUCCUAUCAGAUUUAUGUGGUAAAGCGAAUGAUUAAAGGCCUUGGG
rnacentral:rRNA from 1 species